UAGUGGAGCAAUCAGUAACCAAAUAAACAAACAAAUCACAAGACAAGUUUGCAAGACAAAUUAUUCACAUUGGCUAUGGCUUACAUAGACAAUAAGCAAAAAUUUAUCCUACUGUUAAUUUUUUCAGCACUUUUACUAUCUUCUCCUGCAGUUCUUGCUAAACGUCGCCCAAUCUCUGUAAGUUUUUUUUUUUUUUUUUUUUUGGGUAUUGGGUUUUGUAAAUCUUUUUCUUGUUAUUGAUGUUGCUUUAUCAUUAUUUUAAUAUUUUUUGGCUGUUCUUGAAUACAAAUACAGGAUGGAGAGAUCAGAGAGAAGAAACUCCAAUGUUAUGCAGAUAUUGAAAG
rnacentral:lncRNA from 1 species